AUACGUGCUUAUAAUGCCCGGUAUUUGAAAUAGUUAAUGUUUGUAUCGUUUUGAUCUCGAUUUCGUUAGAAUACGUAAUGAAUCGAUGCCAAUGGAAACAAGGACUAAUCAAUCUUUGGUCGAAGAUUUUUCAUUAUAUCCGCGGCGAGACCGCAAGGCUAAUAUUACCUGUUCGACGUGGCAUAAAAUUCCUUCCUCCGAUAUCCCGUUGCGAAUUUGCAUUUUCCUUGUAAUCGCGUACCGAUAUCUGUUAUUCAAAUUAUUGCCUGCAAUCUAUGAUUUUCAAUGAAACCUUCAAAAUAGUUUCUAAGUAUCAAGUUACCUAUAAUUUUAUAUAAUUUCUGUUAAGUUCCAUUAAUUUUACUGGCAGUAUUUUGAAUAACAGGAGAAUAGAUUGAAAUUUCAUGAAACGGGUUUCAAUUGCAAGGGGAUGAAAAUCUUCAUCCCUGUUAUAAUAAGAUUUUGCCUGGAAUCGGUGUUAAUUCCAAGGAAAAAAGGAAUUACGAACAAAAGGAGAUUUUCCUUACAAAGAGGAGAAAAGCGAUCCUUAAGAAUUCCGAGUGUCCUUUGCGAGUAAACGCGAGCAACGUUAAAUUUCAUGCUUUCUCUAAAACUGCUCGCCAUAAACACUUGGGAUUCGACACAUCCGGAUCUUAGUCGCAAUUUAACGAAUGGCGUCAUUCAUUCGUUUGCAAGUAGGGGAAUGAUAUAUACGGGCGAUGGUUCUUUCGUCUUCCCUCCCUGUUCCAGUACUCUUCCUCUUUUUCUCUUCUACUCUCUCCCACUGGGUCACAUUAUGCACUGGGUAACGAUAUGCCGCUGUUUAAUAUGUGGGCCAUUUCAGUCCGUGGUUACUCUAUGGGUGGAUCGGUCGAUCUUUAAGGCGAGAACCGUGCUCGAACAAUUUUCACAGAAAUGUUUACUAUAAUCGCGUUGAAACGAGUUAGAUACAAGAUUAUCCUAUGGUGCCGAUGGUUCUUGUAUUAUCUUUACUCGAACCUGGUUAAUCUUGCUCUAACAACCUUAAAUCGUUUAAACAAAGAAGGUGAAGCGCUUGCCCUUCAGGAUGAUCUCACAACGCACCCCACCUUGGCUUUGAUGCGACGCAUCCUCGCAGAUGCACAGGCAAAAUUUCGCGUGAUGGUGGAGGAGAACGCAGCGACGGGCGCCCGGCUGGACGGGGAGCUGGAACGAGCUAGGGGCGAGUGCGCCGUGCUCCGUGGCGAGUUAAGGGAUGUUCGCGGCGCUUUACCGGUCGUGUUGAACAACAACAACGGGGCGGCUAGCAAUCUAGCUGCCGGCAACAGCAACAACAAUCCGACCGGAAACGCGACCGCCAGUCCCGGACAGGAAAGCAGCAACGAGCUUCAACAGCAACAGUCCCAAGACGAUGGAAAGAGACUGAGCGCCGGCAGCAGCCCCGUCGAUAAGCGAAGCUCGGCCAGCGAUAAAUCGGCCAGUCCUAUAGAAAAAAGGAGCAGUCCUGUGGAUAGGAAGGACAGAAGCAGCCCUAUCGAUCGACGCGGCAGCCCCAUAGAGAAACGGAAUGGUUCGCCGAGUCGAAGCCCGAGCGAGAAGGCGCGACGAGCUUACGCUCCAGUUUUGGAGAAGACGCGGCUGGCCGGUUCCGGCGGAAGCGUGGAUUCACGAUCGGGAAGCGCGAGCCCGGAUCGAGGAUGCGGCAAUAGAAGCUUCUUUCAUCGAGGCGGGAGCGAUCGAUCGAGCGUGGAGAGACUUCGAAUAUCGACGAAUCGCGAUUCUCUUCGAUCCAGCAAGGAAAUGAACGAUCACGAGAAGGACAGCGACAAGGAUCUCGUGGACGGCGAGGUACGAGCCGAGGAGGACAAUGAACCACCUGGACCAGCCCCGGGCAGCAGACCCUCGUCGCCGGCUAAUUCUCUGGGAAUCGGUGAUCCAUUGGUGGCAUCGAGGCUAUCAAACAUUCAUGGCGGAGGAGGUAGCACGGGAUCGGUGGAAUUAGCUAGCACAAGGAGACUUCGACUAGAGAACGAACGUCUGGUAGCUGAGGUAGCGAGAUUGAGAAGAUUGUUAUUCACCGGAGCGGGACGCGGAGAGGUCGGCUCGGAGGAUGCUGCCCUGGAAGAGGAGGCACGAUUCGUUGCACUCGAAAUGGAACUGCAACACGCGAAAGAAGCUCUGCAAGCCCUGAAGGCUGAUCGUAAGAGGCUGAAAGCUGAAAAGUUCGAUCUUCUUAAUCAAAUGAAGGCACUUUACGGCACCCUCGAGGACAAAGAAAGAGAACUUCGAGACUUUAUAAGAAACUACGAACAGCGGAUGCGGGAGAACGAGGCGACGUUAGGACGCCUUCAGCAGCAAGGAGCCGGCAUACCUUCGGAGGAACGUGAAAGGGAGAGAGAAAGGGAACGUUGGAGUCUUUUAAGGGCGGCAAGGGACGAAGCGGAUCGAAGCCUCAGCCUGGCGGCUAGUUUGGCCGACAAAGAGGCCGCCCUUUCGCACGCACACGCGACCAUUAAAGAGUUGCAGCGUCAAUUGGCGGAAAGAGGCGGAGGCGGUGGUAUCUGCUUGAGCGACCAGGAAUCCUUGGUCUCGUUCCCGAGGGGUAGCGUGAAUGGGGCGGCAACACCGGGAGCCGGAAGCAGCAGCGGCGGUGGCGGCUGCGGUAUCAUCCCUCAUAUGAAUUCUCAACCACCGUUAGGAAGCACCGAGCUAGGAGUGACCGUUGGGAACGUAGGGAAUGCGGCAGGUGUUGGUUCCUCCGGUGGACAGGCUGGCGAUCGAGGAAGUUGCAGCGCGGACAGCGGUGUUCGUGGAUCCAGUGACCGAGAAAGCGGUGGCGCCACGAGCGUGGGUGGAAAUCUAUCCGAUUCGACCACCGAUGGUAAGAAAAGCACACCGACAAUUACAGUCGAGGGAAGCGGUCUCGACAUGGACAGCAUCUCCGUGGUUUCCUCCAUUGCACCAUCCCACAUAUACCAGUCAGCGACUACACCGAAAGAUUGCAGCCCGACGUUGUCGCCUCUGAACGCGUUCUCCAGGUCCAUGGACAACUCCUCGUUAUCGCGAUCCGUCGAGCAAUUGUCGAGCCCGUUGGAAUCCGAGCCGAGAAGAAACAAGCAGAGUACACCUGUCGCUGCACCUGCUGCGCACUCGCGAUCCUCUGCAACUCGGGGAGGCACUUGGGGUUCUAUUUCUAGAGUAUUCGCGCGUUCGCGGCAUCGAAAGGCGGCAAACAAUUCGAGCGGAGGAAGCGGAAGCAACGAAGGUUCGGAUGGUUUCGAUCCUUACCGGUCAUGGUCGCCUCUCACGGAAGAAGGCUACGCCGAGAAGCUUCGUUUGCUCAGAGAAGCCGCAUCCGUGCCUAUGGAAAGAUGGAGAGCACCAACCGUGCUCGCCUGGUUGGAGGUUGCUCUUGGAAUGCCGCAAUACGGGCCUCGAUGCGCUGAAAAUAUUAAAUCCGGCAAAGUUUUGUUGGAACUGAACGACCAAGAAUUAGAAGCUGGUCUAGGUGUGACACAUCCCCUACACAGGAAGAAACUACGUUUAGCCAUAGAAGAACAUAGACAUCCGAGUCUUGUUCGAUAUCCCUGUAUUGCUCAACUGGGUCAUACUUGGGUUAGCUCCGAAUGGUUACCCGAUCUUGGUCUCGCUCAGUAUUCCGAAAGUUUCGCCACCAACAUGGUGGACGCGAGGAUGCUCGAUCAUCUGAGCAAAAAAGAGUUGGAAAAGUUGCUCGGGGUGACUAGAAAGUUUCACCAGGCCAGCAUCGUGCACGGCAUUCAUCUGUUGCGGAUGCUCAACUAUGAUCGUCAAGCACUCGCGAUAAGAAGACAUCAGUGCGAACAGGUCGACACGGAUCCGCUGGUUUGGACGAAUCAGAGGUUUAUUCGAUGGGCAAGGAACAUUGAUCUAACCGAAUACGCGGAGAACUUGAAAGAUUCAGGCGUACACGGUGCUCUCGUCGUGCUGGAACCAUCAUUCACCGGUGACACGAUGGCCACAGCCCUGGGCAUACCACCUGCAAAACACAUGAUCAGACGACACCUGACUGCCGAAUUGGAAGCACUCGUCGUUCCAGCAAGGUACUCAGUCUACUAUCAUCCAGAGGCCACAUUGGACAACGCUCACUAAUCGAUAUAAACGUCGUACCUCGUUAACAAAACGAGUUCGACGUCGCAAAACACAAUUCAUCGUCUUCGAGAUUUCAUUUAAAUGGUUCUUGCUCGAGAGAGAGAGAGAGAGUCAGUGCAUCGAUGAUUUGAUUUUACAAAAGGGGGUUUUAUAGAAUUCACGAGAUACCAUGGUGCUCUCUUUCAGGCUAGAACAAAUAUAUGUAUUAAGGUAGAUCGAUGACUCAGAGACACAUUUGAAUAUCGCUUAACGACGAGUAUAAUUUGCAAACGAGCGGUAAAGUAUUCUCAUUUGAUACAAAUAGAAGCAUGAUGGGAUCGUUUUUCUACGGUGAUCUAUAGAAGAAGCUAUUUUAGAGAAUAUAUCGCUGAGACACUUGUCAAUUAUCUACACGGAAGAAAAGUGUAUUAUCAUACGUGUUUGUACGCAUAAAAAUUAACGCGAUAACUAUUUACAACGUUACCUUCUAGUAUUCAGAAAUUUUACAAUAGUUACUAGUAGAUAAACGUAAGAAUUUUCAUUGAACAAUGUUCAGCUUUAUAGAUAUUGUUACCGUACGAAAUUAAUCGAUAGGCCUCAAUUUUUCAGGGUUUCCAAUUUUGAUCUAUCAAUUAAAAAUCAUUGAUCGUUGAUGUUAAUAUUCGGGGGAAUAUCAUUUAAUUGAUCCGUCUCAAGAUCGAUGAAAUUGUACAUAAUAAUCGGGCGAGCUUAAACAAAGUAACUUGCAUUAAUGUUAUUUAAGAUGAAAAUUUCCGCUUCCGUUGAAGCGUUUUUAAUAGAAACAGUAUAAUAUUGGAAAGUUUGUAUAUAAUCGAGAAUCAAGCAAAGGGUAAUUUAGAAUCUAAUCACGAUAUACACGCAAAGAAUAGUAGAAUCGUAAGGCUUCUAUUAUGCUAUUCGAAGACGAAAGACAAAUCAAAUGAAAAUAAUAGAGGAAGAUAUCUGCAACUUUACAAGCUAUGCUUUUUCUGUAAAAAAAAAAAACGACCAGUGUCGUUUGAAAUUUAGAACAAGUUACUUUACAAGCUUCCUACCAUUAUCUCUCAUGUUUGUUUUAAAAUCAUACUAUCUCUCAGUUUCUAGAAUCAGUCAAUUUAAAUGCAAACAAGAAACAAAAAGAUAGAAUCAGUUCAUUACGACAAACUGACAUUGGACAUCAUACAUAUCAUAAGAGACCUUAGCUAAUCCAACUAGGAGACGAGGAACGAAACGAUUAACAAUGCAGAAAACGCAUGAUGAGAUAGAUAAAUACUACAAUGAGGUAACUGUGCAUGCUGGCUCGAGUAAAUCUCGUCUGUGAAACGGGGAUGGAACAGGUUUCGAUACCGUCGAGGUUUGCUCGCUGUUGGUUUAGUAUAGGUCAGCUGGAGGUGGUCCCGAGGAACAGCACAGCCGGAGGUCGUCCUAUGAGCACCGUGAGCGCGGGCGGUAGCCUCGGUCGUGGAAGCAGGGCCCUACAUCUUCAGCAUCAUC